GGUGAACGCUGGCGGCGUGCUUAAGACAUGCAAGUCGAACGGCAGUCUUCGGACUGUAGUGGCGCACGGGUGAGUAACGCGUAACUGACCUACCCCGAAGUCGCGGAUAACGAUUCGAAAGAAUCGCUAAUACGUGAUGUGCUGUCAGAUUGUGUUCUGCCAGUAAAGAUUGAUUGCUUUGGGAUGGGGUUGCGUUCCAUCAGCUAGUUGGUGGGGGUAAAGGCCCACCAAGGCGACGACGGAUAGCCGGCCUGAGAGGGUGGCCGGCCACAGGGGCACUGAGACACGGGUCCCACUCCUACGGGAGGCAGCAGUUAGGAAUCUUCCACAAUGGGCGAAAGCCUGAUGGAGCGACGCCGCGCGAGGGAUGAAGGUCUUCGGAUCGUAAACCUCUGAAUCAGGGACGAAAGACACUUCGGUGGGAUGACGGUACCUGAGUAAUAGCACCGGCUAACUCCGUGCCAGCCGCCGCCGUAACAC
rnacentral:rRNA from 1 species